GGUUCCAUAGCUCAGCUGGAUAGAGCAACGCCCUUCUAAGGCGUGGGUCGCAGGUUCGAAUCCUGCUGGAAUCA
rnacentral:tRNA from 3 species